rnacentral:rRNA from 1 species
UAAUACGUAGGGUGCAGGCGUUAAUCGGAAUUACUGGGCGUAAAGCGUGCGCAGGCGGUUUGCUAAGACAGGUGUGAAAUCCCCGGGCUUAACCUGGGAACUGCGCUUGUAACUGGCAAGCUAGAGUGUGGCAGAGGGGGGUGGAAUUCCAGGUGUAGCAGUGAAAUGCGUAGAGAUCUGGAGGAACACCGAUGGCGAAGGCAGCCCCCUGGGCUAACACUGACGCUCAUGCACGAAAGCGUGGGGAGCAAACAGGAUUAGAUACCCUGGUAGUCCACGCCCUAAACUAUGUCAACUGGUUGUCGGGGAAGCAAUUCCUUGGUAACGAAGCUAACGCGUGAAGUUGACCGCCUGGGGAGUACGGCCGCAAGGUUA